GACGAACGCUGGCGGCGUGCUUAACACAUGCAAGUCGAACGGAAAGGCCCUGCUUUUGUGGGGUGCUCGAGUGGCGAACGGGUGAGUAACACGUGAGUAACCUGCCCUUGUAUUUGGGAUAACUUCAGGAAACUGGGGCUAAUACCGGAUAGGAGCUCCUGCUGCAUGGUGGGGGUUGGAAAGUUUCGGCGGUUGGGGAUGGACUCGCGGCUUAUCCGCUUGUUGGUGGGGUAGUGGCUUACCAAGGCUUUGACGGGUAGCCGGCCUGAGAGGGUUACCGGCCACAUGGGGACUGAGAUACGGCCCAGACGCCUACGGGAGGCAGCAGUGGGGAAUAUUGCACAAUGGGCGGAAGCCUGAUGCGGCAACGCCGCGUGCGGGAUGACGGCCUUCGGGUGGUAAACCGCUUUCGCCUGUGACGAAGCGUGAGUGACGGUAAUGGGUAAAGAAGCACCGGCUAACUACGUG
rnacentral:rRNA from 1 species